AAAAUAUAUUGUUUUUGAAAAGAUGAGUAAUAUGCAUAAGUUUGUGUGGAUUUUUCUUGCUACAAUGGCCAUGCUUUUGCUUCUAACUCACGCUCAAUAUGACGUUGGUAUGGAAGGGAAGUUGGGAGAUCUCGUUCCAUUAACUUGUGAUCUAUCUUGUUCCAAACUGAGCACGCCCGAUAUGGAGAAAUGUGAACAAUUAUGUCGUCAAAGAAACUUUAAAGAUGGAGUAUGCAUUAGAAACCCAAAUUAUAUAGCAUGUUGUUGUAGCUUUGGGUGAGAUCCAAUAAAGUAUAAUUACUUGUGUAUCCAAAAAGGGUUGAAAGUUGUUAUCUACAUUAUAUACAUGUAUUAAAUAAAUUAUAAAUGAUGAAUUGAAAGUAUACAAUUAUUCUA